rnacentral:lncRNA from 1 species
CCCGGGCCCUGCACUGCUGAUCAGUGCCUGGGGGCCUCCAUUUGCCUUCUGUUCCCAGGAAGCUACCAGAGGCCCCUCCACCGGCCCUUUCUUGCAGCAAGCCUUUAGCAUACUAUUUGUGUAGAAUUUCACUUCUGCUGCACUGUGUUUAAGACAGUGCCAGAGGAAGACAAAGUUCUGGGGUCCUCAUUGUCAUGCUUGGCUCUCGGUCACCUGGGCCCUCCACUCAGGCCUUCUGUCCCCAGUUGCCUUUUCUGAGGAUACUUAGAAGCCAGGGACUCAAACCAUCAACACUGCUCUAUUCCAGCUCCCUGUUUGGGGCCUCAAGGCCCUUUUCAGUUUAUAAUGUGGUCUCUUUAAAAGAAAAACAUGGAAGCAAAGCAG